rnacentral:rRNA from 1 species
GAUGAACGCUGGCGGCGUGCCUAAUACAUGCAAGUCGAGCGAACAGACGAGGAGCUUGCUCCUCUGAUGUUAGCGGCGGACGGGUGAGUAACACGUGGAUAACCUACCUAUAAGACUGGGAUAACUUCGGGAAACCGGAGCUAAUACCGGAUAAUAUAUUGAACCGCAUGGUUCAAUAGUGAAAGACGGUUUUGCUGUCACUUAUAGAUGGAUCCGCGCUGCAUUAGCUAGUUGGUAAGGUAACGGCUUACCAAGGCAACGAUGCAUAGCCGACCUGAGAGGGUGAUCGGCCACACUGGAACUGAGACACGGUCCAGACUCCUACGGGAGGCAGCAGUAGGGAAUCUUCCGCAAUGGGCGAAAGCCUGACGGAGCAACGCCGCGUGAGUGAUGAAGGUCUUCGGAUCGUAAAACUCUGUUAUUAGGGAAGAACAAAUGUGUAAGUAACUAUGCACAUCUUGACGGUACCUAAUCAGAAGGCCACGGCUAACUACGUG